rnacentral:tRNA from 1 species
GGAGGGGUGGCCGAGCGGCUGAAGGCAACGGUUUGCUAAACCGUCAUAGGGGCUUAAACCUCUAUCGUGGGUUCGAAUCCCAUCCCCUCCGCCA